AGUAGGGAAUAUUGCACAAUGGAGGAAACUCUGAUGCAGCGAUGCCGCGUGAGUGAAGAAGGCCUUUGGGUUGUAAAGCUCUUUCGUCGGGGAAGAAAAUGACGGUACCCGAAUAAGAAGGUCCGGCUAACUUCGUGCCAGCAGCCGCGGUAAUACGAAGGGACCUAGCGUAGUUCGGAAUUACUGGGCUUAAAGAGUUCGUAGGUGGUUAAAAAAGUUGGUUGUGAAAUCCCGAAGCUUAACUUCGGAACUGCAAUCAAAACUUUUUAGCUAGAGUAUGAUAGAGGAAAGCAGAAUUUCUAGUGUAGAGGUGAAAUUCGUAGAUAUUAGAAAGAAUACCAAUUGCGAAGGCAGCUUUCUGGAUCAUUACUGACGCUGAGGAACGAAAGCAUGGGUAGCGAAGAGGAUUAGAUACCCUCGUAGUCCAUGCCGUAAACGAUGUGUGUUAGACGUUGGAAAUUUAUUUUCAGUGUCGCAGCGAAAGCAGUAAACACACCGCCUGGGGAGUACGACCGCAAGGUUAAAACUCAAAUGAAUUGACGGGGACCCGCACAAGUAGUGGAGCAUGUGGUUUAAUUCGAAGAUACGCGCAGAACCUUACCAACACUUGACAUGUUCGUCGCGGCUCUAAGAGAUUAGAGCUUUCGGUUCGGCCGGACGAAACACAGGUGCUGCAUGGCUGUCGUCAGCUCGUGUCGUGAGAUGUUGGGUUAAGUCCCGCAACGAGCGCAACCCUCACUUUUAGUUGCCAUCAUUUAGUUGGGCACUCUGAAAGAACUGCCAGUGAUAAGCUGGAGGAAGGUGGGGAUGACGUC
rnacentral:rRNA from 1 species